UUCGGCGGGCCCGCCUUAACUGGCCGCCGGGGGGCUUACGCCCCCGGGCCCGCGCCCGCCGAAGACACCCUCGAACUCUGUCUGAAGAUUGUAGUCUGAGUGAAAAUAUAAAUUAUUUAAAACUUUCAACAACGGAUCUCUUGGUUCCGGCAUCGAUGAAGAACGCAGCGAAAUGCGAUACGUAAUGUGAAUUGCAAAUUCAGUGAAUCAUCGAGUCUUUGAACGCACAUUGCGCCCCCUGGUAUUCCGGGGGGCAUGCCUGUCCGAGCGUCAUUUCUGCCCUCAAGCACGGCUUGUGUGUUGGGCCCCGUCCUCCGAUCCCGGGGGACGGGCCCGAAAGGCAGCGGCGGCACCGCGUCCGGUCCUCGAGCGUAUGGGGCUUUGUCACCCGCUCUGUAGGCCCGGCCGGCGCU
rnacentral:rRNA from 1 species